AGCUCAGUGACCUUGUGGUAGAGUGUUCGCCCUGAGAGUGGAUCGUUGUGGGUUCAAUUCCACAUCUGAGCCA
rnacentral:tRNA from 1 species